GAUCAUGGCUCAGGAUGAACGCUGGCGGCGUGCUUAACACAUGCAAGUCGGGCGAAGCACUUAGGAAAGAUUCUUCGGAUGAUUUCCUAUUUGACUGAGCGGCGGACGGGUGAGUAACGCGUGGGUAACCUGCCUCAUACAGGGAGAUAACAGUUAGAAAUGACUGCUAAUACCGCAUAAGACCACAGCACCGCAUGGUGCAGGGGUAAAAACUCCGGUGGUAUGAGAUGGACCCGCG
rnacentral:rRNA from 1 species